rnacentral:rRNA from 1 species
CCUACGGGAUGCAGCAGUGGGGAAUAUUGCACAAUGGGCGCAAGCCUGAUGCAGCCAUGCCGCGUGUAUGAAGAAGGCCUUCGGGUUGUAAAGUACUUUCAGCGGGGAGGAAGGUGUUGUGGUUAAUAACCACAGCGAUUGACGUUACCCGCAGAAGAAGCACCGGCUAACUCCGUGCCAGCAGCCGCGGUAAUACGGAGGGUGCAAGCGUUAAUCGGAAUUACUGGGCGUAAAGCGCACGCAGGCGGUCUGUCAAGUCGGAUGUGAAAUCCCCGGGCUCAACCUGGGAACUGCAUUCGAAACUGGCAGGCUAGAGUCUUGUAGAGGGGGGUAGAAUUCCAGGUGUAGCGGUGAAAUGCGUAGAGAUCUGGAGGAAUACCGGUGGCGAAGGCGGCCCCCUGGACAAAGACUGACGCUCAGGUGCGAAAGCGUGGGGAGCAAACAGGAUUAGAUACCCGGGUAGUC